rnacentral:rRNA from 1 species
GUGAGGAAUAUUGGUCAAUGGACGAGAGUCUGAACCAGCCAAGUCGCGUGAAGGAAGACGGUUCUAUGAAUUGUAAACUUCUUUUGUGCAGGAAUAAAGUGGGUUACGUGUAACCUUUUGUAUGUACUGUACGAAUAAGGAUCGGCUAACUCCGUGCCAGCAGCCGCGGUAAUACGGAGGAUCCGAGCGUUAUCCGGAUUUAUUGGGUUUAAAGGGUGCGUAGGUGGAUUGAUAAGUCAGCGGUGAAAGUUUGCAGCUGAACUGUAAAAUUGCAGUUAGAACUGUCGGUCUGGAGUGCAAAUGAGGUAGGCGGAAUGUGUUGUGUAGCGGUGAAAUGCUUAGAUAUAACACAGAACUCCGAUUGCGAAGGCAGCUUACUGGGAUGCAACUGACACUGAUGCACGAAAGCGUGGGUAUCAAACAGGAUUAGAAACCCGAGUAGUCC